GCUCUCUCUUCAGGGAUGACAUCAUCGGCUCACACCAGUCUUCCAGGACCACCUUCUGGAUGCCAAGGCUGCUGCUCCUGUACCUGCUGUGCACCUCUACCUCCUGAGCCAAGGAGCAUGGAUUCCAGGAACCCACUACCAUACAGAGCAACUCCUUGUGGACCCCCCUGGGAUCAGGACAGCGAGGGACAAGCGACAAAGAGGAUCAUCAGUGGCCAGCUAGUCUCUCUGGGGUUCAAACCUUGAACCAGUGCCCUAGUGAGGGGGCACUGGCCAUGGCCCUUGACCUUUGCUCUGCUUGUGUCUUGAGUCUGAGUCCUUUCCUGUACAUCUGUGCUUGUGUUCAUCUGCUAGUGAACUGGAGUGCUGCCCUCCCCGAGGAGGGUCGUCCCUUGUGACUGAUCAUGCUGUCCUAACAAUGUCCUGAGCAAAAGGGUCCCUUUGGGAACCUCUCAGGAGGGGGACCCGGGUCAGGGGCGACCAGCAUCUUGCUGGCAACUCCGUGGGUGGGGUGGGGUGGGGUGCUUCCUUCUGGAAUGAGCACGUGGCUGACCCCCAAAGGCAUGUCCCCUCCCCCUCCUCCACCCACCUUCUCGGAGAUGUCCCUUUUGGGGUAGUGGGGACAUUAGGAGCAACCUCCUAGGGUUGUUGUGAGAAUUAAAUGAACUGCAGCAGCCUGAGGCAGGGCUGGGCAGAGACCUCAGCACAUGUUUGUUGAAAGGUUUGCAGGUGGAUCUAGUCCUCCCGUUCAUGGCUCAUGUGUCUCAACCAUUCUCUCGCAGAUUCCUGCAGCCCCUAUGCCCAGGGCUCUCCUUGCGCCAGCCCCGGCUUCUAGAGGCCUGUCUACACUCGCUGCUUUCCUUCCUCACCUCCAAUUUCCCCUCCAACCCACUGCUUCCUGACUCGCUCUUCUCCAUCGAACGGCUCUCGCUCAGCCUCCCUCUGUUUGUCUCCCUCCCUCUCCCAAUUGGAUCUGGCCCCUGUUGGGGUGCCCCUAGGCCACCCCUUCCUCUUCUGGGUGUCCCAGCACCAACCCGGUUUAAGGCUUGGCUUGCUGGCCCUGGAGAUCCCGUCGCCGUCUUCGUCGAACUCGAACUCCUAGCCAUCGUCCUUCCCUGGCCUGUCGCGUCUUCCUGUGCCAUUUGCUGUUGUGCUCAGGUUCCACGAGCUGCCCAUCUCCACAGAAGAGCAGCUGGCAUUGCCCACCGGCCAUGCCGGCUGAAGAAAAGAAGACUGAGGACCCCAGGACGCCCAGCACGAGGACCCCAGGAAGCUCAGCGCGAGGACUCCACCCAUGACGCCCAGCGCGAGGACUUCACGCACAACACGUUGCAACCCUCCUGGAUUAGGCCAAAGCCAUCAUCUGGAAUCCUGCGUGGGACCCUGGACACACGGACACAGACACCUGCCCCCAGGACCCUCCAACUGUAAAUU
rnacentral:lncRNA from 1 species